GGCAGGGUCUAUGGGUGGAGCUGACUGACUUCAGAAAUAGGGACAGACCUAGAGCCAUCCUGACACCACAGCCCAGGCUUUGGUUACACAUAGUUCCAUCUCUCACAGCCAGACACACAUCAUGAAGAGGCUGCUGGGCUCUGUUCUGGGGCUUCUGUGCACCCAGGUUUGCUGGGUGAAAGGGCAGCAAGUGGUGCAGAGUCCUGGAGCCUUGACUCUCCAGGAGGGAGACACUUCUGUGCUGCAGUGCAACUUUUCCUCCACUCCUACCAACCUGCAGUGGUUUCACCAGAAUCCCCAGGGCCUCCUCAUCAGCCUGUUUUAUAAUCCCUCGGGAACAAAGCAGAGUGGAAGACUAAAGUCCACGACAGAUGCUAAGGAACGCCGCAGCUCCCUGCGCAUCUCCUCCUCCCAAACCACAGACUCAGGCACUUACUUCUGUGCGGUGGACACACAGUGCUCCCAAGGCACCUGCAGCCUGAACACAAACUUCAGCUGGGAGCUGCUCCAUCCUGACCGUGUCCCCUGCACGCUUGAGAAGAGCGCCCUGAUUGGAUACACGUCUCUGAGCGCUCUUUGCUUUGUGGCGCUGUAG